CCUACGGGUGGCAGCAGUGAGGAAUAUUGGUCAAUGGUCGGGAGACUGAACCAGCCAAGCCGCGUGAGGGAUGAAGGUACAGAGUAUCGUAACCUCUUUUGUCAGGGAACAAAGGCGGGGACGUGUCCCCGGAUGAGUGUACCUGAAGAAAAAGCAUCGGAUAACGCCGUUCCAGAAGGCGCGGUAAUAAGGGGGGUGCGAGCGUUAUCCGGAUUUAGUGGGUGUAAAGGGGGCGCAGGCGGUCUGUUAAGUCAGCGGUCAAAACCCGGGGGUCAACCCCGGCCCGCCGUUGAAACUGGCAGUCUCGAGUUGGAGAGAAGUAUGCGGAAUGCGCGGUGUAGCGGUGAAAUGCAUAGAUAUCGCGCAGAACUCCGAUUGCGAAGGCAGCAUGCCGGCUCCACACUGACGCUGAGGCACGAAAGCGUGGGUAUCGAACAGGAUUAGAUACCCCAGUAGUC
rnacentral:rRNA from 1 species